ACUAAAUGACUUAUCUAGUGUUGUUUGGGUUUAGAAUAUGUUAGAACACAAUUAUUUUGAUUGAUUACAAGUGCUAUAGAUUCAUGAAGACUGUUUUGAAGGAUGGAGAAAGACUUGUUGAAAUUGGGUCCCAAAUGGGCUAAGAACUCGGAAACAUUGCGUUGAAAACCUAAAUGACUUAUCUAGUGUUGUUUGGGGUUAGAAUAUGUUAGAAUACAAUGAAUUUGAUUGUUUACAAGUGCUAGAGAUGCAUGAAGAGUGUUGACAAGUGUGUAGAAAAACUUGUUGAAAUUGGGUCCCAUAUGGGCUAAGAACUCGGAAACAUUGAGUUGAACCACUAAAUGACUUAUCUACUGUUGUUUGGGGUUAGAAUAUGUUAGAAUACAAUUAAUUUGAUUGAUUAUAAGUUCUAGAGAUGCAUGAAGAGUGUUUAGAAGUGUGUAGAAACACUUGUUGAAAUUGGGUCCCAAAUGGGCUAAGAACUCGGACACAUUGCGUUGAACCACUAAAUGACUUAUCUAGUGUUGUUUGGGGUUAGAAUAUGUUAGAAUACAAUGAAUUUGAUUGAUUACAAGUGCAAGAGAUUCAUGAAGAGUGCUUAGAAGUGUGUAGAAAAACUUGUUGAAAUUGGGUCCCAAAUGGGCUAAGAACUCGGAAACAUUGCGUUGAACCACUAAAUGACUUAUCUAGUGUUGUUUCGGGUUAUAUCACGUUAGAAUACAAUAACUUUGAUUGAUUACAAGUGCUAGAGAUGCAUGAAGAGUUUUUAGAAGUGUGUAGAAAAACUUGUUGAAAUUGGAUCCCAAAUGGGCUAGGAACUCGGAAACAUUGCGUUGAACCACUAAAUCACUUAUCUAGGGUUUUUUGGGGUUAGAAUAUGUUAUAGAACAAUAAAUUUGAUUGAUUACAAGUGCUAGAAAUGCAUGAAGAGUGUUUUCAAGUAUGGAGAAAAACUUGUUGAAAUUGGGUCCCAUAUAGGCUACGAACUCGAAAACAAUGCGUUGAACCACUAAAUGGCUUGUCUACUGUUGUUUGGGGUUAGAAUAUGUUAGAAUGCAAUAAAUUUGAUUGAUUACAAGUGCUAGAGAUGCAUGAAGAGUGUUUUCAAGUAUGGAGAAAGACUUGUUGAAAUUGGGUCCCAAAUGGGCUAAGAACUCGGAAACAUUGAGUUGAACCACUAAAUGACUUAUCUACUGUUGUUUGGGGUUAGAAUAUGUUAGAAUACAAUUAAUUUGAUUUAUUACAAGUGCUAGAGAUGCAUGAAGAGUGUUUAGAAGUGUGUAGAAACACUUGUUGAAAUUGGGUCCCAAAUGGGAUAGGAACUCGGAAACAUUGCGUUGAACCACUAAAUGAGUUAUCUAGUGUUAUUUGGGGUAAGAAUAUGUUAGAAUACAAUAACUUGAUUGAUUACAAGUGCUAGAGAUUCAUGAAAAGUGUUAAGAAGUGUGUAGAAAGACUUGUUGAAAUUGGGUCCCAAAUGGGCUAAGAACUCAGGAACAUUGCGUUGAACCACUAAAUGAUUUAUCUAUUGUUGUUUGGGGUCAGAAUAUGUUAGAAUACUAUAAAUUUGAUUGAUUACAAGUGCUAGAGAUGCAUGAAGAGUGUUUAGAAGUGUGUAGAAAAACUUGUUGAAAUUAGGUCCCAAAUGGGCUAAGAACUCGGAAACAUUGCGUUGAAAACCUAAAUGACUUAUCUAGUGUUGUUUGGGGUUAGAAUAUGUUAGAAUACAAUGAAUUUGAUUGAUUACAAGUGCUAGAGAUGCAUGAAGAGUGUUUAGAAGUGUGUAGAAAGACUUGUUGAAAUUGGGUCC
rnacentral:lncRNA from 1 species